ensembl:lncRNA
ACGAUAUCUUAAAAGUUUAACAAGAUUUUCUUGUUUUAAACAUUCACAUUCCAGAGCGUGGAGGGGAAAGCACUGCCUGCACGGAGGGAACGAUGUAAAAAUCCUUGGAAACAGAGCAGGGCUGCAGGUGAUGGGGAAAUGCCGAAGGCAGCUGACAAAAACUUGUAUAAUUGCAGCUUUAUUUUGCCAAAUUCUGAGCCGUCAUUUGCUGCCAGCAGUCCCACCUCUUCCAUCCAGGAGCUGGUGACGUUGAUCGAGCUGCAGAUCGGAAGCUGUUCCCUGGAUGAGGUGGGCCGCCUGCUGCCCUCACCACGCUCUUCCCACCCCACUGCUGCCCGCCCUGAGGUCUGCUCCAGCGCAGGGAGGUCUGGCACUCUUGAACCUGAGGUCAAAAACAAGAGGGAGGAAAAGAAUGGCCUUCAGGCCAGAGGAAGAAACCAGGGCAACCAGGCUCUUAACGUGAUAAAAGGGCUUUAUCUCAAAGCACUUAAACAAAACACACAAGCCUGAGAGAAGAGGCUCUGUCAAGUAUCCGCCCGGGACAUGGGGAAAUUGCAAAUCCCUGCAGGACAGAGGGGCUCUUUCUUCAGUGUGCAGAGCCUGGAGCUGGGGCUGGGCAGGUGAGGGGUGCUGGGGAAGGGGUGCAUGGGGGAUUUCCCGUUUGCAGUGGUGCAUGGGUACGGAUCAGACUGUGAGCAGCUGUUAGAGAGCAGAUCACGGGCACGGGGAGUGGGCAGCAGUGCUGGAGAGGGGCAGGAGAGAAUGGGAGAUGGGACAUGCAGCAGCAGGUGGGCAUGGUCCCAUCCCCUGUGUGUGGGGAGUCAGUGUAAAUCAGUGCCAUCUCUGCACUUGGUGGGUGGAUGGGUGCAGUUUGCAGGAGUUGGAUGGGUGUAGUUUACAGGAGUUGGAGGGGAGGCUUGGUUCUUGCUGGCCCCUUACAGAACGCUGCAGGGAGGAUUGUGCCAUGGAGAGGUCUCUGGGUUGUUCCCAGGUGCAUGGGCAGGGAGCUGCACACACCAUCCCGGGUCUCUGGGCUGCAGGUCCCAGCCCAUCCCCAGCCAAUCUGCUUUCCCAAGGGGCUGAGGCAGCUGUGCUUGUGGUACCUGCUCCAAAGGGACGGGCUGUUCGCUCUGGCUCAUCUUGUCCCUCAUCCCUUUGGGGCUCAGCCCCGUCCUUCCCCAUUUCUCUGUGACACACGAUGCUUCGUGCCAGCAAUCCCUGCCUAUGAGGAGAAGCCCUGCCCUGCCUGGGCGCUGCUCUCCCUCUGGCUCCUUGUUCUUCAGCCUUUGUUUGGUACACGUCCUCGUCCCCUAUGGAUGCCCAUAGUGUCCUUUCCCUUCCAUGGCUCAGUGAGGACCACGAGGAGCUCCCAGCCAUGAAUUUCCCCCACACACCACUGCCAGGCUGUUAUUGCUGUGCGCUCCCUCCUGACUCCAUCUGUCUGCAUGGUGCUACUGCUCCGUGCCAGGAGGGCUCCGGGACCGCUGGGGUCACGGCUGCCCCAUUACGGGGCGAGAUUUAUCAUUGGCAGGUGUGCUGCGGGAUGGUAUAUUAUCCAGGAUUAUGAACUGUAACAGGAUAAUCUCUCUAAUGUAAUUCAAGCUCUCGACAUGGCUUAUGGCUCCUUAAUGUACCUCAGACUGAAGAAUUACAAGAACAUUUUCCCCCCUCCCUACCUUGUCAGCUCCUAAAUGAUUUAGGCAAUCGCCUGAAGCCAGAUCUUGGCCUCCAGUCAUAACUCAGAGCAGUUCAGUAAAUAUGAUGGGGAAGGAGUUUUCCUGCCUUGGCUCUUUCUUCCUUCCGCUGCGCUCAGCCCUCGCGGUGCUGCUGCUCUGCUCCCUGUGGAGCAUUCAGGAUGGACCCAAAGUUGGGCUGGUGGGCGCAGGGAUGCUCUGCAGGGGGAUCAUGCCUUGGUUUCAGACCACGGGGUUGUGCCCAUUUCAGCAUCACCUCUCUUUUUGAGUAAUGCAGCAAUUAGUGGUUUGGUAACACAUCAACCAAUGCAUGUCCAGCUUCGCUCUGUGCCCCCGCUGAGCCAAGAGGAACAUUGCCCAUCUUCAUCUAAUUGGCUUUUAAUUCUGGUCAUUGCUUUGACCUUAAAGAUGUGGUUUGUGGGGCCGAUUUUGGAGCAGGUACAUCCCCACAUGGGCACCAAAAAGGUGAGCAGUGAUGGCCACCACCCCAGGGUCCCACAGCGACCAACUGGCCUCAGUCCAGCCCCCAUGAGCCCAAUGACAAAUAAACCUCGUAAAAGGAGAGGAAAAAGAGGGAGAAAAGCAGAGAUUAAGAACAGGAACUGCAGGGAUAUGGCUUCCACUCGGCGACUGACUUAAAAUAAACAUCAGAUAUGCAGAGCAGGGCUGGGAGCCUGCCAUGGCAUGGGGGAAAAAGUAAUGCAGGGAAAUGUGUGUGUCCUUUAGCACGGCCGGUUAUGGGCCUGGUUACCUGGUGCUAACGUGAGUGUGGCAGAGGUGUGAUGUGCCGAGUGGCUGCAGGGGAAGGAAAAGGGGAAUGCAUGGGAAUGAGGAAGGGUGCUGGGGAGUGUGGAGCAGCCAGGAGCGCUCAUCCCUGCCCCAACCCCGGCUCUGCGGGGAUGAAAAACAGAGGGAUGGAAAGCAAAGGGAUGGAAAGCAAAGGGAUGGAGAGGGGGAGAUGGGCUCAGGAGGCACCCGGCUGUGGUGGGCACGGAGGCCCCGGAGCUGCAGGUGCCCCAGCAGAGCCCACAGCAGAGGCAGCAGCAGAGCAUCCCCAUCCCCUGGAAGCGCAGUGCAGAGCGGAGCUGGAGCGUGACGGCAGCCCAUGGCAGGGCUCCGGCCGGCCCCAGGCAGCUGUAUUUACUGUUGCUAUUUGUUGUCGCCCUGGCAGCCUCCGCAAUGUGAAUUUUCUGUGUCACUGGCUGAGAGGAUUCCAGGCAGGUUUUUGAUAAUGUGGGGUUGGUUUUGUAAAGCAGGGAGGGAGAGGGGAAAAGGAGCCACGGGCUACAAACAGCUCGGCCCGGAGCUUUUAACUCUUUCGCCGCUGAAUGUGCCUGACUGCUGCGGACAGAGCAGCAGAGCUGUGCUGGAGGUCCCUUCCCCACCACUGCUCGGGGGUCCCGCACCGAUCCCCCCCGUGCCUCAGUUUCCCUUCCUGCAAAAAGGGAGGAACGUGUGGGCACGGUGCGGUGCCCGCAGUGCCGCAUCCAUGGGGCAGCUGAAGUGCCCACCUGGCAGUGCCCCACGCUCAGCUUCUUCCACCUGGGAGCUGCAGGGUUUGAUCUCUCCAGAAGCAAAACCAGAAUCCACACGCAGUCGAGGUCUCCUCUUUUGUUUUCAGGCAGACAGAGCAGCAGUGCCCGUCCCCUCCCAGUGCUGCUGCUGGGAGCACCAACACCGGGAUCUGCUGUUUCUUCCUUUCUCUCUUUCUUCUUUCCUUUCUGUCUGGCUGUGCGCUUUGGGUAAUUAGCGUAUCAUGGAGAGAUGGUGUGGUGGGACAGGAAGGAAAAGCUGUUUGCACAGCAGAGUAACUGGCAGAGCAUCUUCAGACCUGUCUGUGCUUCCCAGGUGGCACCUCCGGCUUAACCGCUUCCUUGCUG